UCUCUCGUGGCUCAGAUGGUAAAGAAUCUGCCUGUAAUGCAGGAGACCCAGGUUCGAUCCCUGGGUUGGGAA
rnacentral:tRNA from 1 species